rnacentral:rRNA from 1 species
GCGUGAGUGAUGAAGGCCUUAGGGUUGUAAAGCUCUUUUACCAGGGAUGAUAAUGACAGUACCUGGAGAAUAAGCUCCGGCUAACUCCGUGCCAGCAGCCGCGGUAAUACGGAGGGAGCUAGCGUUGUUCGGAAUUACUGGGCGUAAAGCGCGCGUAGGCGGCGAUCCAAGUCAGGGGUGAAAUCCCGGGGCUCAACCCCGGAACUGCCCUUGAAACUAGGUUGCUAGAAUACUGGAGAGGUGAGUGGAAUUCCGAGUGUAGAGGUGAAAUUCGU